ensembl:lncRNA
GUUAGAUUUGAUUGAUACCCACCGUAUUCUCAGAAAUCUCUUGCCAUUUAGCACUCCUCCUUAACACCAGUUGUCCCAAGCGGCUGCACUUGACCUUUCCGUUAACUCCCCAGAGCACAGCUGAGACCAGCCUGUAACAUUUAAAUUCGAUUUCUCUGAAGUCUCAAGGACAACAGCAGAAAAUAAGCACCAAUAACAACGUAACAUUAGCCCAGCUCUCUGCCUGCCUGCCUUCAGGAGACCAUGCCAUCUUUAAUCCCUAGGACCAAGAAACCCAAUAAAGUGAAACCCAGAGUGAAGCGUCUAAUGGAUUACAUGUCCAUCCUAUUGAAGCUCCUGAGGCGCCUGACAUUCCCUGGCUUGUGGCAGCAUCCCUGACUCUGCUUUAAGGACAUUAUCCUUUAUCUCCUGACCUCCACUGUUUCUGAUGAGAACUCAGCCAUUUACUGCGUCCUUGUUCUCCUGUGUAUAACAUUUCAUUUUCCUUUGGAUGAUUUCACAAUUUGCACAAGUCUAACGAUGAUAUUUCUGUUUCAUUUAACCAUGAGAGUAGUUUAGUUGCUAAGUUGUAUCUGGCUCUUUUGCGAUUCCAUGGACUAUAGUCUGCCAGGCUAGAAGAAUUGAUGGUUUUGGACUGUGGUGCUGGAGAAGACUCUUGAGAAUCCCCUGGACAGCAAGGUGAUCAAACCAGUCAAUCCUAAAGGACAUCCACCCUGAAUAUUCAUUGGAAAGGCAAAUGCUGAAGCUGAAGCGCUAAUACUUUGGCCAUCCCACGUGAAGACUCGGCUCUUUGGAAAAGACCCUGAUGCUGGGAAAGAUUGAAGGCAAGAGAAGAGGGCGACAGAGGAUUAAAUGGUUGAAUGGCAUCACUGACUCAAUGGACAUGAGUUUGAGCAAACUCUGGGAGAUGGUGAAGGGCAGGGAAGCCUGGUAUGCUGCAGUUCAUGGGGUUGCAAAGAGUCAGACAUGACUUAGCAACUAAAGAAGCAAGCAAGCAAGCAACUAUGAUAUGCCUUGUUGUGACUUGGGAGUUUGCUGAGCUUUUGAAUCUGUAGGUUGAUAUAUUACAUCAAAUUUAGGGAAGUUUUAUCAUUUUUAUUCCUAUAUCUUUUCCUAUACUAUUCUUUUCCUCUUUUCCUUCAGGGAUUCUAAUUAUGUAAAUGUUAGCUUUACAUUUUCCAACUGAGGCUCUGUUCAUUUUGUUUCAACCUUUUUUUCUCUCUUUUCUUUAAGUUGGGUCAUUUUUACAGCUCCUUCUCCAAGUUCAGGGACUCUUAUUCCUGCCUUGUCCAAUCUGCUGUUAAAACAAUUCAGUGAAUUCUUCACUUUAGAUAUUAUAUUUUCAGUUUAGAAUUUCUCUUUAAAAAGUCUUCUCUUUGAGAUUCCUUGUUUGAUAUUCAUCAAGACUGUGUUUUCCUUUAUCUACUUGAAUAAAUUUGUUAGUGUUUUGCUGAAAGUUUUACUUUUGUUUUAGCCUUGAAGGAUUCAUUAACAAAAGAAACUACUCAGUACACACACAAAUAAUUUCAAUUUUUUAUAGAAGAUUACCUGACUCUAUUUCAAUAUACAGCCAUUAAAAAAAAAAAAGAAACAAUAAAGAGAAGUAACAGUGGAUACAUCACCAAAUUGGGCCAAGCUAAAUCCAGACUGACAGUGGGCUGGGAAGUCCUUUGUUAAAAGCAAUCUGGAGUCCCAGUUGGGAAAGUGUCCUGGGCAGUACUUCCACCC